rnacentral:rRNA from 1 species
CCUACGGGAGGCAGCAGUGGGGGAUAUUGCACAAUGGGGGAAACUCUGAUGCAGCGACGCCGCGUGGGCGAAGAAGUAUUUCGGUAUGUAAAGCCCUAUCAGCAGGGAAGAAGAAAUGACGGUACCUGAGUAAGAAGCACCGGCUAAAUACGUGCCAGCAGCCGCGGGAAUACGUAUGGUGCAAGCGUUAAACGGAUUUACUGGGUGUAAAGGGAGCGCAGGCGGCACGGCAAACCUGAUGCGAAAGCCCGAGGCCCAACCGCGGGACUGCAUUGGGAACUGCCGGGCUUGAGUGCCGGAGAGGUAGGCGGAAUUCCUAGUGUAGCGGUGGAAUGCGUAGAUAUUAGGAGGAACACCAGUGGCGAAGGCGGCCUACUGGACGGUGACUGACGCUGAGGCUCGAAAGCGUGGGGAGCAAACAGGAUUAGAUACCCCAGUAGUC